rnacentral:rRNA from 1 species
UUUAUGGAGAGUUUGAUCCUGGCUCAGGAUGAACGCUGGCGGCGUGCCUAAUACAUGCAAGUCGAGCGAACGGACGAGAAGCUUGCUUCUCUGAUGUUAGCGGCGGACGGGUGAGUAACACGUGGAUAACCUACCUAUAAGACUGGGAUAACUUCGGGAAACCGGAGCUAAUACCGGAUAAUAUUUUGAACCGCAUGGUUCAAAAGUGAAAGACGGUCUUGCUGUCACUUAUAGAUGGAUCCGCGCUGCAUUAGCUAGUUGGUAAGGUAACGGCUUACCAAGGCAACGAUGCAUAGCCGACCUGAGAGGGUGAUCGGCCACACUGGAACUGAGACACGGUCCAGACUCCUACGGGAGGCAGCAGUAGGGAAUCUUCCGCAAUGGGCGAAAGCCUGACGGAGCAACGCCGCGUGAGUGAUGAAGGUCUUCGGAUCGUAAAACUCUGUUAUUAGGGAAGAACAUAUGUGUAAGUAACUGUGCACAUCUUGACGGUACCUAAUCAGAAAGCCACGGCUAACUACGUGCCAGCAGCCGCGGUAAUACGUAGGUGGCAAGCGUUAUCCGGAAUUAUUGGGCGUAAAGCGCGCGUAGGCGGUUUUUUAAGUCUGAUGUGAAAGCCCACGGCUCAACCGUGGAGGGUCAUUGGAAACUGGAAAACUUGAGUGCAGAAGAGGAAAGUGGAAUUCCAUGUGUAGCGGUGAAAUGCGCAGAGAUAUGGAGGAACACCAGUGGCGAAGGCGACUUUCUGGUCUGUAACUGACGCUGAUGUGCGAAAGCGUGGGGAUCAAACAGGAUUAGAUACCCUGGUAGUCCACGCCGUAAACGAUGAGUGCUAAGUGUUAGGGGGUUUCCGCCCCUUAGUGCUGCAGCUAACGCAUUAAGCACUCCGCCUGGGGAGUACGACCGCAAGGUUGAAACUCAAAGGAAUUGACGGGGACCCGCACAAGCGGUGGAGCAUGUGGUUUAAUUCGAAGCAACGCGAAGAACCUUACCAAAUCUUGACAUCCUUUGACAACUCUAGAGAUAGAGCUUUCCCCUUCGGGGGACAAAGUGACAGGUGGUGCAUGGUUGUCGUCAGCUCGUGUCGUGAGAUGUUGGGUUAAGUCCCGCAACGAGCGCAACCCUUAAGCUUAGUUGCCAUCAUUAAGUUGGGCACUCUAAGUUGACUGCCGGUGACAAACCGGAGGAAGGUGGGGAUGACGUCAAAUCAUCAUGCCCCUUAUGAUUUGGGCUACACACGUGCUACAAUGGACAAUACAAAGGGCAGCGAAACCGCGAGGUCAAGCAAAUCCCAUAAAGUUGUUCUCAGUUCGGAUUGUAGUCUGCAACUCGACUACAUGAAGCUGGAAUCGCUAGUAAUCGUAGAUCAGCAUGCUACGGUGAAUACGUUCCCGGGUCUUGUACACACCGCCCGUCACACCACGAGAGUUUGUAACACCCGAAGCCGGUGGAGUAACCUUUUAGGAGCUAGCCGUCGAAGG